GAUUGGUUUAGUUAAAUUUCAGUAAAAUGAUUGGUUAAGGAACAGCUAAGCAAAAUGCAGGUUUUACUAUAUAGUCUGCAGUCAGUCAGGAGUGGUGGGGGGAUGGGAA